rnacentral:rRNA from 1 species
UACGUAGGGUCCAAGCGUUAUCCGGAAUCACUGGGCGUAAAGCGUGCGUAGGCGGAUGUUUAAGUGUGAUGUUAAAUCGUGGGGCUCAACCCUGUCGUUGCAUCGCAUACUGGGCAUCUAGAGGACGGCAGAGGCAAGUGGAACUCGUAGUGUAGCAGUGAAAUGCGUAGAUAUUACGAAGAACACCAAUGGCGAAGGCAGCUGCUGGGCCGACCCUGACGCUGAGGUACGAAAGCGUGGGGGAGCCGAACAGG